rnacentral:rRNA from 1 species
AGAGUUUGAUCAUGGCUCAGAACGAACGCUGGCGGCGUGGCUAAGACAUGCAAGUCGAACGGACCAUGUGAUUGGGUAACUGAGAUCAUGGUUAGUGGCGAAAGGAUGAGGAAUGGAUAGGUAACGUGCCUUGUGCACCGGGAUAGCGUCUGGAUGCUUGCAUCCUUCCGAAAGGGGCGGUAAUACCGGAUAAUACCAUAGAAUGCGAGUUUUAUGGUCAAAUAGUUAAUUCUGGCAUAAGAGCGGCCUAUUCCCUAUCAGUUAGUUGGUGAGGUAACGGCUCACCAAGACAACGACGGGUAGCGGGACUGAGAGGUUGGCCCGCCAUAUCGGGACUGAGACACUGCCCGGACCUCCACGGAGGGCUGCAGUAACGAAUAUUGGACAAUGAGCGAAAGCUUGAUCCAGCGACGCCGCGUGUAGGAUGAAGCCCUUCGGGGUGUAAACUACUGUCAGGGGUAAGUAAGCUUCGGUUGAACUAACCCACAGGAAGUCACGGCUAACUUCGUGCCAGCAGCCGCGGUAAUACGAAGGUGGCAAGCGUUGUUCGGAAUCACUGGGCUUAAAGCGUACGUAGGCGGAAUUAAAAGCGUCUUGUGAAAUCCCCCGGCUUAACCGGGGAACUGCGAGGCGAACUGCAAUUCUUGAGGCAAGUAGGGGUGCACGGAACUCUUGGUGGAGCGGUGGAAUGCGUAGAUAUCAAGAGGAACGCCAGAGGUGAAAACGGUGCACUGGGCUUGUCCUGACGCUGAGGUACGAAAGCGUGGGUAGCGAACAGGAUUAGAUACCCUGGUAGUCCACGCCGUAAACGAUGCCUACUAGGUAGUGGGAGUUCUGACACUUUCACUGCCGAAGCAAAAGUGUUAAGUAGGCCGCCUGGGGAGUACGGUCGCAAGGCUAAAACUCAAAGGAAUUGACGGGGGCUCACACAAGCGGUGGAGCAUGUGGAUUAAUUCGAAGCAACGCGCAGAACCUUACCUGGGUUUGACAUGCUUGGAUGCCUGCCUGGAAACAGGAUUUGGCUGCCUUUCGGGGUGAAACUUGCACAGGUGCUGCAUGGCUGUCGUCAGCUCGUGUCGUGAGAUGUUGGGUUAAGUCCUUAAACGAGCGAAACCCUUGCCGUUAGUUGCCAACAGGUAAUGCUGGGGACUCUAGCGGGACUGCCGGUGUUAAACCGGAGGAAGGCGGGGAUGACGUCAAGUCCUCAUGGCCUUUAUGCCCAGGGCUUCACACGUGCUACAAUGGUGCGGACAGAGCGACGCAAGACCGCGAGGUGGAGCAAAUCGCAAAAACCGUGCCUCAGUUCGGAUUGCAGGCUGUCAACUCGCCUGCAUGAAGUUGGAAUCGCUAGUAAUCGCGUAUCAGCUACGACGCGGUGAAUGUGUUCCUGAGCCUUGUACACACCGCCCGUCAAGUCACGGAAAUCGGGAGCACCCGAAGUCGGAUUGUUAACCUUUUAGGAGACGUCUGCCUACGGUGAGUUCGGUAACUGGGACUAAGUCGUAACAAGGUA